ensembl:lncRNA
UGUAAAGUUGGUUGCUCAACUGUUUUGAAUUUUUUUAUUUUGAGUGAUUACCUCAAAAAAAAGAAUUUAAAUUUUAUUUUACUUGGUUUAACUACGACAGCCGUCUUUGUGUCGUGGCGCACAACAAAUUUUGGUUAUACAGCUGUUUAGGGAAACCUCAAUGUCUCGGCUCAGGCUGGUCCUAGCUCCAUGGAACAAAAACUGAUCUGUAGAGCACAAUACAAGAUGCAGCGCCCUCCAGUAAUAUUGGCACCCUUGGAAAAUAUGAGCAAAGAACGCUGUGAACAUUUGAUAUUUUGUUUAAAAAAUUCAUAAAAAUACUCUACUCUCGUGGAUAUCAAACAAUUGCAAGCAAGACACAGGUUUAUCAAAAAAAAAUCUUUGUUAAAUAUAGGUGUGCAACAAUUAUUGGCACCCUUUUAGUCAAUACUUUGUGCUACCUCCCUUUGCCAAGAUAACAGCUCUGUGUCUUCUCCUAUAACGCUGAUGAGGUUGGAGAAUACAUGGCGAGGGAUCUGAGAGCGUUCCUCCGUACAGAAUCUCUCCAGAUCCUUCACAUUUCGAUGUCCACGCUGGUGGACUCUCCUCUUCAGUUCACCCCACAGGUUCUCUAUGGGGUUCGGGUCAGGGGACGGGGAUGGUCAUGGCAGGACCUUGAUUUUCAAGGCUGAGAUCAGCUCAAACAGGAUGUUGAUAUAGAUCUGCUUUUAUACUCCAAUGGUUUGGAAAAGUGUAAAUACCCUACAUCCUGGACAGUGUGUGUGUGUGUGUUUGGGAUGUUCCAUAGAAAUAAAAGUUUAUUACAAAUAAAGGGAGAGCGGUGUACUGCACAUUCUCUUUCACUCUGAGCUGCAGGGUUUCAAGAUUUAAACAUGGUGCUGCAGAGUGAGACAGUGAGAGUCAAAAAGAGAGUGUGAGAGACAGGGAGAGACUGGGAGAGACAGUGAGAAACUGGGAGAGACUGAGAGAGACUGAGAGAGACAGUGAGAGACAGUGAGAGACUGGGAGAGACAGUGAGAGACAGUGAGAGACUGGGAGAGACUGGGAGAGACAGUGACAGACUGGGAGAGACUGAGAGAGACAGUGAGAGACAGUGAGAGACAGUGAGAGACAGUGACAGACAGGGAGAGACAGUGAGAGACAGUGACAGACUGGGAGAGACAGGGAGAGACUGGGAGAGACUGAGAGAGACAGUGAGAGACUGGGAGAGGCUGAGAGAGACAGUGAGAGACAGUGAGAGACAGUGAGAGACAGGGAGAGACAGUGAGAGACAGUGAGAGACAGGGAGAGACAGUGACAGACUGGGAGAGACUGAGAGAGACAGUGAGAGACAGUGAGAGACAGUGAGAGACAGUGACAGACUGGGAGAGACAGUGAGAGACUGGGAGAGACAGUGAGAGACUGGGAGAGACUGGGAGAGACUGGGAGAGACAGUGAGAGACUGAGAGAGACAGUGACAGACUGGGAGAGACAGUGAGAGACUGGGAGAGACAGUGAGAGACAGUGAGAGACAGUGAGAGACAGUGAGAGACUGGGAGAGACAGUGAGAGACUGGGAGAGACAGUGAGAGACAGUGAGAGACUGAGAGAGACAGUGAGAGACAGUGAAAGACUGGGAGAGACAGUGAGAGACUGGGAGAGACUGAGAGAGACUGGGAGAGAUUGGGAGAGACAGCAUGAUACAAAGAGAGAGAAAGUGUGACAGCAUGUGACAGUGACAGAAAGAGUGUGAGAGACAGAGUGAGACAGGGAGAGAUAGCACUGGACAGCGAGAGACAGCGUGAGAUAGAGUGAGACAACAAAAGACAGAAAAAGACAGAAAAAAUGGUGAGAGACCUUCUUUUUUUUUACAUAUUUGGACAAGCAAACAUUUGAUCCUCUUUGAAACAG